UACAGAGGUGGCAAGCGUUGUUCGGAAUUACUGGGCGUAAAGGGCGCGUAGGCGGUUCGUUAAGUCCUGUGUGAAAUCCCCCGGCUCAACUGGGGAACUGCACAGGAAACUAGCGGGCUUGAGUUCGGGAGAGGGAAGCGGAAUUCCGGGUGUAGCGGUGAAAUGGCGUAGAUAUCCGGAGGAACACCGGUGGCGAAGGCGG
rnacentral:rRNA from 1 species